GUCAGUGAUGGAGCUUGGAUUCAAAACCUGGAACUCCUGACCGCAAGUCCAUGGAUCUUACUAAGCUAUCUCAUGGGCCCUGCAGGAUUGGGGAUGGAAGCAACCUGAAUACCCUUUUGUGGGGCCACAGAAUGUCUGGAGAGAGCCAAGGAAUCCAUCCUUUCAUUCUUGAGGCCAUUCCUUUCUAAAUUGAAUGUGGGUUCUUCUGAUAAAUCCAAUGGGGACGUCAGCAAGCCACUCAGUAUACAGUAAUAUCCCUGGCAGGGAUAGCAAUAACAACUGUGGAGGAUUGGGCAGGACUAUGCUGGCCUAGGAGGAGAAACCUCACCUCAACAACUGCCCCUUUUAAUACAAGACUGCUCUGAUCUUCAUCUCCACUGCUGUCACCACUCAGGGAAGGGCAGUAGCACUGCCCUUGACUCAGUCCAAUUGCCCUGCCCCAGACACAAGAGCGAAGCAAUUUCCUUCCCUCUCUCCAUCUCCCUUCUUUCCUCUUUUUUCUUUUCACAGGUUAAAUCCAAGACCUGGCAUUCUGUUUAUAGUGUGUGGUAUUUGUUUGGCCAAUGAGAUGAGUAAAAUCUUCAAAUCCCAGAAGUCUAUGAAGGUCCAAGCCACUCCUCUUACCUUUGAGGAGCAGAAUCUGUUCUACCCUUCAAGUAGAGGUAGACUGUAAACAAGUAGACUGUUUAUAAGUACAGUAGGAGCAGAGUGCUAUAUGAAGUUAGACAAUAUUGAAGAUUCCUUUGUGAAGUAAAAACAAGUCCCUUGAAUUAAUAAUUAACUCUCCAAGAGAGGCAGCAAUAGCAUAGUAUGAAAGAUGCUAAUUCGUGACCCCAGAUGGUCAUAUCACUUCAGGGAGUCCAGGAAGAAAGACUCAGAGAGGAAUCCAAAUUCUGAUGAGACAUUUAGAAUGUGUAUGGGACUGAAGUAGAAGAAACUAUGAGAAACUAUAUGGUUGAGAAAGUUUAAGUAUUGUCAGGGACUAUUGCCACAAAGGCCUGGGCCUCCAGAAGCGAGGCUGCAUGGGCCACUGGGGGGAUGAGGAAAGCCAAAACAGGUACUAUACUGUUUUAAACUCUUCCCUCAACUACCAACACUAAGGUGAUAAUUCUGGACCUCCUUUCUUCCCUUGAUGGGAACCUGAAGCCUUUUCCUCUGAGAA